rnacentral:rRNA from 1 species
AACGUAGGAGGCAAGCGUUAUCCGGAGUUACUGGGCGUAAAGAGUGCGUAGGCGGAUCUGUAAGUGGGUGGUGAAAGCGCCCGGCUAAACCGGGCGAGGUCCAUUCAGACUGCAGGUCUAGAGGCGGAUAGAGGGGUGCGGAAUUCCGGGUGUGAGCGGUGAAAUGUGUAGAGAUCCGGAGGAACACCAGUGGUGGCAGACGGCGCCCUGG